ensembl:rRNA 5S_rRNA 5S ribosomal RNA
AUCUAUGGCCAUACCACCCUGAACAUGCCCAAUCUUGUCUGAUCUCCAAAGGUAAGCAUGGUUGGACCUUGUUAGUACUUCAAUGGGAGACCGCCUGGGAAUACCAGAUGCUGUGGGCU